GCAUCGGUGGUUCAGUGGUAGAAUGCUCGCCUGCCACGCGGGCGGCCAGGGUUCGAUUCCCGCGGCCGAUGCA
rnacentral:tRNA from 1 species